AGGAAAACCCCAUCCUCUUCCUUCCUCCGUGCGGCGCCGCCCCCCGCCACUGAUCCCGCGGCCGGCGAUCGAUCUGGACUGGCGGCCGGUCCCUCUAUGGAUUUAGUUCGCCGGAGCGCCGCCGCGUCCUCCAGGAAAUGCUCGUCGUUCUCCCUCCUCCUCAUCGAGAAAGUUCCAGUGACUCAUCCAUGAACGGUGGCAUUACGGAUCUCUAGGUCGGGUCGGGUGGCUGUUCUGCAUACCAUGAUGUGUGGAGAAAUGCGGCAGGAACGACAAAUCGCUGUAAGAAACUAACCUCUUGACUCUUGAGCACAUGAUUGUUCAUUGUAUGCAUCCAAGGCUUUGCCUUGUACAUUGCAUGAUAGCAGUCACAAAGAUAACUUAGUCGAAAAACAGAUGCAAUGAGUUAAAUUACACAAUGAAGUGAGCAGCGACCUCAGAUUAAACCUGUCAAGUGCCAACUGCUGGGUUGCAAGUUAUUUGAACAUCUUAUGGCAUACUCAAGUAUAGUCAAACCUAACUUGCAUGAAACCAAACGUGGCAUCACAGUAGCUAUUUCUAUGACGCACAAGUCUCAAACAUCUUUGAGCCGUAGUAAAUGUUUCCCUAGAUUUGUGGCCUAGGGUGGCCCAGAGAUGAAACAAAAGGCUUAGGGGGCAUGGCUAAACUCUGCAAGCUUCCUGUUAGCAUGUUGACCACCUUUUUCAUAGAUGGGUGAUUCUUGGGGUUCCACUGUAUGCACCAUAACGCCACAAUGGCCAGUUUUAUUGCGUCUAUUCCCUGGUUGCUUCCAGUUCUUGCCCAGUGAUUAUUUUCUCAAAUAUCCACUGCGGAAUAUAAACCUCAUUUUGAUUCCCGGACCAACACGCAGCAAGGAGAAGCCACCCGGCUUUGGUUUAUAAUCAUCUGGUUGUUCCCCAUCGUCUCCUCAGUCCCCUUCUUCGAUGCUGUCAUUUUUCGCCGGCGCCGUCAUAGUCAUCCAUCCGGUGAUGAAAUUAGCCACCACUUGAAAUUAGCACAGUCCCCUGUUCCAGCAGGCCAGCCCGUUUCCUGUGCCACAACAGGAUCACUCUCCGUCUCCGCCUUCUUCAGGUACAUAUAUUCUGAAACUCAUAAAGCCUGUCGGAAUUCAUAACCAGUGCUUUAUUAUUUGUAAUGCUGAAAUUCUUUUUUUGCUAGAUGUAGUCUGUUACAUGCAACUGAGAGAUUUAUAUGAAGCCAUGAAAUUAGUAAGAACAGAUUCUUCUUGAGCUUGGUGAGCUCUCAUAGAGUUGUAGAUACCAUAUGAGAAUAAAAUUGUAAAACUUAAUGCCUCCAUGUUUUGUAAUUAAACACUAUAAACUACUGAAAUUUGACCUAUGUGAAGUAACACACGGAGUGAAACCAUUUCCAAGGGAUGAAUUAUAUACUUUACUGUCCUUGCACACUACUUUCCUUAUUUCCUAGUACAACAUAUCGCGCAUGAUGAUUUUCGGGCCCAGUUUCCCUUAUAAACUGGGUCAUUGUCUCUUGUUUGUACAAUUUCUCCCUCUCUUAAUAUAAAACCAGCAAUGCUGGCUUAGGUUUCAAAAAAAAAAAGUUGUGAACAAAUUAACCAUAUGCACAUGAAUAACAAUCAUUUGCACUUUAUACUCUAAACCAACCAAGUUGCACUUCAUCUUAGCAAAUUAUAACUAAGAAGUAAGAUGCCAAUAAUAUCACUAGGCAUACCUGUGAACCAAAUAGUGGACUACACUCAUCGUGCAGGUGCAGGAAGCGCAAUGCCUCGGCAAUAACCAAUGGUGAUCUGUUCUUCAGCUUUGUUAUCCAAUCCGACAAGUGCAAACCCUCCUCAGAAUCCACUGAUUUUUUGUGCAAUGCGGAAGUAAUGUGAUGCACAUAAAGAAGAGUUAAUUAGUUCGAUCCAUUCAGGAAUAUCCAAAUAACUCAAUUUCUUACAGAACAUAAAAAGCAGCAGCACUCACAAUUUGUCUUACAUCCCUAAAAUGUACUGAAAGCUAGAUCCAUGAAAUGAAAUGAAGCAGACAAGCCAGUCACAUGGAACGGAUCUUCUUAAUUAGACCUGUCUGAGAACAAAUAGUCAUUGAUCAACACAUGUACUGCACAUCAUGUGAAAGGGAAAUUUGGCUGUGUAUAUCCUUGUGGAUAUAGAGGCCGGAUUAAUGAAAAUCCAUUAUCUAAAAAAAUGUGAAAGGGAAAUGGAAAGGGAUGGAAGAGAUUAAUUUGGAUGAACAUCACCAGAUGAGGAAGACGCUGGAGCAGCAACCUCCUCUCCGUCGGAAAGUCCGAAUCGAGUAUAAAGCUUCAGAAUUUCAUUAGUAGCUUGUUAACGUUGCUGCUGAAAUUUGUGGGUACUCAAAUAGUGUAUGUAAUGUACCUGCAGUUCUCCCGCUACAGGAUGGAUAUGAAAUAUUAUGGCGGGAGCAUAGAGUUUAAAUGCAUCCUUAAUAAUUAAGCUUCUCUUCUGACACAAACACGUCUCAUGCCAAAAUGGAAGACAGAGGCACGGCAAAAACUGCAAUUCAAGCCGUAGAGAAAAGGUAUACAAAUGGUGAAUCUGUGAAACCAUGUGUGGUUAUAGUUCUUUUGUGAUGGGAAAUUGAUAAGUACCGGAAGUGCAAGAAGUGUGUGCGUGAACUAACAUUGGUCUGAUUGCGACAUCUGUGCCAAGACAACGGUUGUUUGGUUCAUGUGUGUGCAGGUGAUCGGGGUCGAUCUUGGUCAACGGCGGAUCGGGACUAGACUUAGGGAGGAGUUAAGGUCCAAAGUGAUCGAGGAUGCCGGGUGACAAGAUUGGAUAUAAGGUUGCACACGGUGGACGGACACCGUGUGAGGAGGUUUUUGCAACGGACUUCGCAAGGUCAAGUGCAAGCGCCGUGUGUCGCGAAGAAAAUUGGAAGAGACAAAGACGUGCAGCAUGCAUGUGUGUCAUGAUCACAUACAUGGAUCGGUGGUGCAGCCAAGGCAUGCAUGCACUAGGGACAGUGCAUGGCCAUGCACACGGCAAGCUGGAGCUGUGUGUGUGCACGUGGCCAAGUGCCAUUCACGGCUUGGAGGGCCAGGCCGAGGAGGCCCAAGACAUGACGGCCCAACACGGCGUGCGCGGGUGUGGAACUCACGUGUUUUCGGCGACGCGGAAGGAAGCGACUCGCGCGGGAAUUUGGAUGGAGCGCGCGGGAAGCAGAGCGCGCGGUGCGCACUGAAGGACGGCGACGUGGCGGCUUCGGACUGGGCACGCGGACGAGCGCGCGGGCUCGCGUGCGUGGGAUUUCGACGGACAACGUGGCAAGCUCGGAUUUGUCAAGAGGAGAAGGCACGGAUUGAUACCUUCGGAUCAGUGUGGAGACUUCGGAUCGAUGACGUGGAUUUCAUCUGGAGGAUUUCCUUUGAGGAGAAGUAAGAACAAAUGGCUGGGAUUUCAUCUAGGCUAGGGCAUCACCCUAAGGGCAUUUGAGACAAUGUCUUGGGGGUCUUAGACUAUAAAUAGAGAGAUGGAUGCAAGGGUGGAGGUUGCUCCUUUUGGUAAUCCUUUUGAGAUGUUCAGUGAGAGAGUUUCCGUGUGAGUUUGGAGUGUGUUUGCCCGAGAGGCUUUUGUAUUAGGAUUAGUUUGGAGUGUGUUUGUCCGAGAGAUUUUAAGUUUGUGUUAAUGUUUCUCUGAAGGUGUAUGUCUGCUCCUAGUUGAGCGGUUAUUUUGCAUCACCUAUGAAUGAAAUGAUUUGAAGGAUUUCGUUUU